UGUUCAGACUGAUCUGUUGGU
rnacentral:piRNA from 1 species